AGCUGCACAAUGGAUUUCUGCGGGCAGAAUGCCAACUAAAACUGGGAAACGUGCAGCAAGUGUGACCUCCCUCUCCCUGACUCACUGUGAUGUUGUGCUGCUUGGAGUUCUCUGUCAGCCAAAGAGAGAGCACGGUGGGAUCUGACUGCUUGGUUGAGGGCUCAUCCAGGACCAGCAGGCCAAGGUUGUCAGGCUUGCCAUCGGGACGAGGAACCUGCAGGAAAACAGAGCCCUGUUCUCUGGGGAUCCAGGGCAGGUGCCUUCCUCUGGGCGCUCUCACAUGUGCAUUCUAUGUACAGUGCUGCCUGGAAAGCACACGGUGUUGGAGAAGGAAAACCCAGGCUUUCCCUCAAGUUACCCAAGUGCUGUUUGGGAGGUGACCAAACUACCAGUGUAGUUUCCCAGGUCUGCCCGUUGUGUCUGACAGAGCAGGGACAGAGCAGAGCCCAGGCCGCACGGCCUGGCUGCCUACAUGCUCUGAGCCUGUGUUCUGUUUCGGUUCGUGGGGCUGGACAGAGAGAGGAACCUGAGGAAACUGUACCUUUAGGAAUGCAUCAAUAUCUCCAACAGCAGGAAUAAAGUCUGGAAUAAAAGGCUGCAGCUUGUGCUCAA